AUUGAACGCUGGCGGCAUGCUUUACACAUGCAAGUCGAACGGUAACAGGCCGCAAGGUGCUGACGAGUGGCGAACGGGUGAGUAAUGCAUCGGAACGUGCCCAGUCGUGGGGGAUAACUACUCGAAAGAGUAGCUAAUACCGCAUACGAUCUAUGGAUGAAAGCGGGGGACCGUAAGGCCUCGCGCGAUUGGAGCGGCCGAUGUCAGAUUAGGUAGUUGGUGGGGUAAAGGCUCACCAAGCCAACGAUCUGUAGCUGGUCUGAGAGGACGACCAGCCACAAGGGGAGUGAGACAGGGAGCAGACUCAAGGGGGAGGCAGCAGUGGGGAAUGUUGGACAAGGGGGGCGAGAGUGAUCCAGGAAUACCGAGUGCAGGAAGAAGUACUUCUGGUUGUAGACUGAUUUUGUACGGAACGAAACGACUCUGGUUAAUACCCGGGGCUAAGGAAGGUACCGUAAGAAUAAGCACCGGCUAGCUACGUG
rnacentral:rRNA from 1 species